rnacentral:rRNA from 1 species
GAGUUUGAUCUUGGCUCAGAUUGAACGCUGGCGGCAGGCCUAACACAUGCAAGUCGAGCGGUAGAGAGAAGCUUGCUUCUCUUGAGAGCGGCGGACGGGUGAGUAAUGCCUAGGAAUCUGCCUGGUAGUGGGGGAUAACGCUCGGAAACGGACGCUAAUACCGCAUACGUCCUACGGGAGAAAGCAGGGGACCUUCGGGCCUUGCGCUAUCAGAUGAG